AAUUAGGGCAAAAAUUAGGGUUUAACGAGGCUGCUUCGGAACAUUUGGAUUCCAAGACACUCUAUUGGUUCUCCAGUUCUAAUCAGAAUCCUCAAAAGUCAAAACAAGAAUGUUGACCAAAAGGAGAAGAUUGAUCCUGGCUCUUUUAUGGGGGUUGUUGCUUUGGUUCCUUUAUUUGGAACUUGGAAGGUGGUUGCUUGGAAAUUGCUUGGACCUGAAGUGGGAUCCACUUGAUGUGAAAUGUAGAAUGUUAAGAUAUAAAGUUAUUAUAC